UACAGAGGGUGCAAGCGUUGUUCGGAAUUAUUGGGCGUAAAGAGCGUGUAGGCGGCCAUACAGGUCAGCUGUGAAAACUCGAGGCUCAACCUCGAGACGUCGGUUGAAACCGUAUGGCUAGAGUCCGGAAGAGGAGAGUGGAAUUCCCGGUGUAGCGGUGAAAUGCGCAGAUAUCGGGAAGAACACCUAUGGCGAAGGCAGCUCUCUGGGACGGUACUGACGCUGAGACGCGAAAGCGUGGGGAGCGAACAGG
rnacentral:rRNA from 1 species